rnacentral:rRNA from 1 species
UAGGGAAUCUUCCACAAUGGACGCAAGUCUGAUGGAGCAACGCCGCGUGAGUGAAGAAGGCUUUCGGGUCGUAAAACUCUGUUAUUGAAGAAGAACGUGUGUGACAGUAACUGGUCAUGCAGUGACGGUAUUCAAUCAGAAAGUCACGGCUAACUACGUGCCAGCAGCCGCGGUAAAUACGUAGGUGGCAAGCGUUGUCCGGAUUUAUUGGGCGUAAAGCGAGUGCAGGCGGUCUUUUAAGUCUGAUGUGAAAG